UUACUGGCUCAGGAUGAACGCUGGCGGCGUGCCUAAUACAUGCAAGUCGUACGAGGUUAAUCCAGCUUGCUGGAGAGACCUAGUGGCGAACGGGUGAGUAAUACGUAAGUAACCUGCCUGCAAGGACUGGGAUAACACCUGGAAACGGGCGCUAAUACCGGAUAGGUAACGGAGGGGCAUCCUUCUGUUAUUAAGGUUAAAAACACAAGCAGAUGGGCUUACGGUGCAUUAGCUAGUUGGUGAGGUAACGGCCCACCAAGGCGAUGAUGCAUAGCCGGCCUGAGAGGGUGAACGGCCACAUUGGGACUGAGACACGGCCCAGACUCCUACGGGAGGCAGCAGUAGGGAAUUUUCGGCAAUGGGCGAAAGCCUGACCGAGCAACGCCCGCGUGAGUGAAGAAGAAUUUCGGUUCGUAAAGCUCUGUUGUAAGGGAAGAACAGCACGGAGAGAAUCCGUGUGUGACGGUACCUUACCAGAAAGCCACGGCUAACUACGUGCCAGCCGCCGC
rnacentral:rRNA from 1 species